CCUACGGGAGGCAGCAGUGAGGAAUAUUGGUCAAUGGGCGCUAGCCUGAACCAGCCAAGUAGCGUGAAGGAUGACUGCCCUAUGGGUUGUAAACUUCUUUUAUAUGGGAAUAAAGUGCAGUAUGUAUACUGCUUUGCAUGUACCUUAUGAAUAAGGAUCGGCUAACUCCGUGCCAGCAGCCGCGGUAAUACGGAGGAUCCGAGCGUUAUCCGGAUUUAUUGGGUUUAAAGGGAGCGUAGGCGGGGUGUUAAGUCAGUUGUGAAAGUUUGCGGCUCAACCGUAAAAUUGCAGUUGAUACUGGCAGCCUUGAGUACAGUAGAGGUAGGCGGAAUGCGUGGUGUAGCGGUGAAAUGCUUAGAUAUCACGAAGAACUCCGAUUGCGAAGGCAGCCUGCUGGACUGUAACUGACGCUGAUGCUCGAAAGUGUGGGUAUCAAACAGGAUUAGAUACUCUAGUAGUC
rnacentral:rRNA from 1 species